rnacentral:rRNA from 1 species
AGCCUACGGGACGCAGCAGUGGGGAAUAUUGCACAAUGGGGGAAACCCUGAUGCAGCGAUGCCGCGUGGAGGAAGAAGGUUUUCGGAUUGUAAACUCCUUUUAUCAGGGACGAUAAUGACGGUACCUGAAGAAAAAGCUCCGGCUAACUACGUGCCAGCAGCCGCGGUAAUACGUAGGGAGCGAGCGUUGUCCGGAAUUACUGGGUGUAAAGGGAGAGUAGGUGGCAGAGCAGUCCGAAGUGAAAACCCAAAGCUCAACUAUGGGAAUGCUUUAGAAACUGCUCAGCUAGAGUGCAGGAGAGGCA